GAUGAACGCUGGCGGCGUGCCUAAUACAUGCAAGUCGAGCGAACAGACGAGGAGCUUGCUCCUCUGACGUUAGCGGCGGACGGGUGAGUAACACGUGGAUAACCUACCUAUAAGACUGGGAUAACUUCGGGAAACCGGAGCUAAUACCGGAUAAUAUAUUGAACCGCAUGGUUCAAUAGUGAAAGACGGUUUUGCUGUCACUUAUAGAUGGAUCCGCGCCGCAUUAGCUAGUUGGUAAGGUAACGGCUUACCAAGGCAACGAUGCGUAGCCGACCUGAGAGGGUGAUCGGCCACACUGGAACUGAGACACGGUCCAGACUCCUACGGGAGGCAGCAGUAGGGAAUCUUCCGCAAUGGGCGAAAGCCUGACGGAGCAACGCCGGGUGAGGGAUGAAGGUCUUCGGAUCGUAAAACUCUGUUAUUAGGGAAGAACAAAUGUGUAAGUAACUAUGCACGUCUUGACGGUACCUAAUCAGAAAGCCACGGCUAACUACGUG
rnacentral:rRNA from 1 species